rnacentral:lncRNA from 1 species
GUAUUUGAACCAAAGCAGUCAGGUUCCAGAUCCUGUGAUCUGCUGCUUUUUUGGGGGGGUUGGCCUUGAAUUUGUUAUGUAGUAACCCAGGCUGGCCUUGAACUUGUGGCGAUCCUCCUGUCUCAGCCUCCCAAGUGCUGGGAUUACAGGUGUAUGCCACCAUGCUGGACUCUACUGCCUUCAUGCAGCAUUCAGUACACCUGUUUGUGUACUGCCCUCUAACACAUACAUACACACACACAAAAUCCAGUUUCUACAGAACUCACCCUCCCACCAAUCUAUUUCAGAAGGCCAGUGUGCUUAGACAGUACUCUCAAGAGUCUCAUCCCAGAGCAUGAGAACCUAAUAUCUGCAGCUAUAUACUGUGGGUGCCAGCCAUAGGGGCACAGAAUGUUGAUGAGUCAGAGGAAGGAGAGAGUGUCCUUGCUUGUGUGUCAUGGGAGGGCCGAGGAGGAGGUGGCAUUUGAGUUAGACUUUAACAUUUUGGAGGGAUGUUGAGAAGAGGUUGGGGAAAGGACUGCUGGCAGAAGAACCAGCAGAGGCUAAAGCCAUGAUGAAUGACCUUUUAGAGUCUGAGUGCCCAAACUGCAACCCCAAACCCACUUAUUUAUUGCAAAAUGCCAACACUGCAAUUAAACCUGCGUACUGAAGCUUUAGUUUAGCAAAAACAACUGUUAUCCGAUGUUCAGCUGCUGGGGUAACUUGGCCCAUGUGGCAACAUAGAGGGCUCAGUGUGCCUGCUGCAGCAUGCAUGCCAUAGGCCCCUUUAGGGCAGGACCCAGCAGUAUGGCAGAGGAAAAGAUUUACCAUCUGGGGUCAGCCAGACCUGGAUUUGAAUCUUUUUUUUUUGGUACCAGGGAUCGAACUCAGGACCUUGCGCUUGCAAGGCAGGCGGCACAACCACUGAGCUAAUUCCCGGUAGGAUUUGAAUCUUGACACUGUUUCUUUUUUUUUUUUGGUACCGGGGUCGAACUCAGGACCUUGUGCUUGCAAGGCAGGUGUGGUGCCACUGAGGUAAAUCCCCAGCCCCUUGACACUGCUUUUUUUUUUUUUUGGUACCAGGGAUAGAACUUGGGACCCUGUGCUUGCGAGGCAGGCAGAGGCACCACUGAGCUAAAUCCCCCACCCGACACUGCUUCUUAUAAGCCAUGUGACCUUGAGCAAGGUACAUCCCUCUCUCAGCCUUAGUUUCCUCUUCUGUAAAAUUGGGAGAAUAUAAAUUCUUAAUGAGGGUGGUCAUUUUGAUGAUAUGAUCAAGCAUACUUUACAAGCAGUGCAUGUAAAGCUCCUGAAAGUGCAGCAGACAAAUUGUGAGCACCCCAGAAGUGGUCAGGUUAUAAUCUCCUGCCCCACCUCCUGGAAGACUCAGUCUGGCACCAAGAAUAUCUUCCU